AAGCAGCGUCCCGGAGCGGGCCCAGGCCCGUCGGUGACGGCGGGCGUUGGAUGCCGGGAGAGGCCUGGGCGCAGGGCUCCAGCGCCGGCCUUGGCUUCAAGAGUUGGCUCUGCUGACCAUCCAGCCCCGACUGCAGCACUAUGACCAGGCUAACAUGGACACAGCCAAAUGGAUAAAAGAGUGUGAGGAAUAUCUGCAUCAUGAGAUGACUUGGCUGCUGCAGGUGAUAGAGGGGAAGAGGGGCACCAUGGAAGCCCCACUCCCUUCUGCAGUGCAGCAGCAGUGUCUGUUUUAAGGUGCUGUAUCAGCCCUCGUCCUGGUCACUGUUGGCUGCUGGCUGGACAGACAAAGGAAGCCUGCCUCUGCCAGCUGCAGGGACCAGGAAAGCUCCAGCAGCAAGAAGUAGGACAAUGGCCAGAAGUUCAAAGAUGCCCACAAUGGUCUGAGAUGCUUGUGAUCACCCCAUUCAUCACCAAUGGAAACAUUCAAGCUGACACUGGAUGGGGCUGACCUGCCCAGCACUUGAAGCAUGGACCAGCGUGAUAGAAUCAAGACCAGUAAUUUCAUCAUCUUCUAAGCUCAAAGGCAUUGAAUGGGAAGAACUGAGAGAUUAAAUGAGGCACUGGAGAGAUGAGAAAACUGGAGCAGAGAGCAGAGGUGAGAGGCUGGUGAAAGUUAAUGUGCUGGUAUAUCAAUGGGGUGGCAAUCAAUAGCAGGGCUGAAAGCUCUCUAGGGAGAUCUUCAGUCUGCCAGGCCAAAAUAAAAAAAUCCAAAGGCUGAAAUUCCAUGGGAGAGGUGGAGAGAGAGGAAGGGAGGAGGGCACAGGCACUUCAGUCCCUAGUGUGGGGCUGUGACACCUGUGGGGAGACAUGCUCCCAUGCCAGCAGUUCCACAGUGUCCCAUGCUCCCAGAGCUUUCCAUAGCUUACCUAUUUCUCUGUGAGGCCAGAGGGGAAAGAAGAUGGGUGGAAGAAUGGAGGAAAUGCAAAGCUUUGUGAACCAUGACAUAGCCCAUGUCUUUCUCAGGCUGAGCAUCAUAUAGGAACAGCAGUCAAGAUCUCACUACCAAAUCAAAGGCAGUUCAAAGGAACAAAAUGUCCCUUGCAGCAAGGUACAAACAGUGAAGUCAAGUGGACUGGUCCAAACCAGGAAGCAGCAGCAGCUAAUGGGGAAAAAACAGUGGGUGUGAAAGGGCUCUUUGUCCCAGCAGGAAGGUGAAGGGUGCCCAGAAGCUGGGCAGUGGGAUGCACCCUGACCGGAACACAGGGCAGGCUUGUUUGCAGUGCAGGGUGCAGGCUUCUAGAGUAGAGGUGCUUUUACAUGCUGGUCCUUUUUGACGCCAGACAACCCCCUGCCUGGAAGGUGCUUUGACUAAACAACAGAAUGGCUCAGCUGAUGCACUGCAGAAGAGGAAGCUCCUCCAGGCCCAGUGUGGGAGGCUGCAGCUCACAGCAAACUUUGUGACCUUGGGAAGAUGAACUGAAGAUGACCACCCCAUACACAGGGAGCUUUUUUCCCUGCUCUAGAAGGCCUUAGAACCACAAAACAGAAUUGCUGGGCCAUGGAGAAGGCAGGAGGCCAGCAGCACCUGGGCAGGAAAGAGAUGCAAUCUCAACACCCUCCUUUCCUGACCCAAGAGGCACAGCAAAUAAAGGA